UGGAAGAUGUCUACAUCCCAGGACCUA
rnacentral:piRNA from 1 species